AACCACAGGCGGCCCAAUCUCGCAAGGGUCAGUAUAGACUUUAUACAGUAUAAAUUUAUAUUACAGUAAUGUAUAUUAUAGUAAAAAUAUGUCAUAAAAUAUAAAUUUUAAAAUGAAAUUGACUUGCCUAUUUGAUAGUGUGUGUUCUCCUUUUUUCCUCCUUUGUUGGACUAAUAUUUUCCAAGACUUUGUACUCGAUGUUACUAGUAUACAUGAAACAUGAUAAAGGCUAACGAUCGUCGAUACGACUGCACGGCACUUCGAAUCGAAAAUUCUCACACUCAAAUCGCU